rnacentral:rRNA from 1 species
AAACUAACAAGGAUUCCCCUAGUAACGGCGAGUGAACCGGGAAGAGCUCAAAUUUGAAAUCUGGCGUGCUCAGUGCGUCCGAGUUGUAAUCUAUAGAGGCGUUUUCCGUGCCGGACUGUGUCCAAGUCCCUUGGAACAGGGUAUCAAAGAGGGUGAUAAUCCCGUACUUGACACAAUGACCGGUGCUCUGUGAUACGUCUUCUACGAGUCGAGUUGUUUGGGAAUGCAGCUCAAAAUGGGUGGUGAGUUCCAUCUAAAGCUAAAUAUUGGCGAGAGACCGAUAGCGAACAAGUACCGUGAGGGAAAGAUGAAAAGCACUUUGGAAAGAGAGUUAAACAGUACGUGAAAUUGUUGAAAGGGAAACGAUUGAAGUCAGUCGUGACUGAGAGGCUCAGCCGGUUCUGCCGGUGUAUUCCCCUCAGUCGGGUCAACAUCAGUUUUGUUCGGUGGAUAAGGGCAGUUGGAAGGUGGCACCCUCGGGUGUGUUAUAGCCAGCUGUCGCAUACAUCGGAUGAGACUGAGGAAUGCAGCUCGCCUUUAUGGCCGGGGUCGCCCACGU